AUUGAACGCUGGCGGCAGGCCUAACACAUGCAAGUCGAACGAGUGGCGGACGGGUGAGUAAUGUCUGGGAAACUGCCCGAUGGAGGGGGAUAACUACUGGAAACGGUAGCUAAUACCGCAUACUAUCGGAUGUGCCCAGAUGGGAUUAGCUAGUAGGUGGGGUAACGGCUCACCUAGGCGACGAUCCCUAGCUGGUCUGAGAGGAUGAUCAGUCACACUGGAACUGAGACACGGUCCAGACUCCUACGGGAGGCAGCAGUGGGGAAUAUUGCACAAUGGGCGAAAGCCUGAUGCAGCCAUGCCGCGUGUAUGAAGAAGGCCUUCGGAUUGUAAAGUACUUUAAGCGAGGAGGCGUUACUAGCAGAAGAAGCACCGGCUAACUCCGUGCCAGCAGCCGCGGUAAUUC
rnacentral:rRNA from 1 species